rnacentral:rRNA from 1 species
UACAGAGGUCUCAAGCGUUGUUCGGAUUCAUUGGGCGUAAAGGGUGCGUAGGCGGCGCGGUAAGUCGGGUGUGAAAUCUCGGAGCUUAACUCCGAAACUGCAUUCGAUACUGCCGUGCUUGAGGACUGGAGAGGAGACUGGAAUUCAUGGUGUAGCAGUGAAAUGCGUAGAGAUCAUGAGGAAGACCAGUGGCGAAGGCGGGUCUCUGGACAGUUCCAGACACUGAGACACGAAGGCCAGGGGAGCAAACGGG